GAUGAAGAACGCAGCGAAAUGCGAUAAGUAGUGUGAAUUGCAGAAUUCAGUGAAUCAUCGAAUCUUUGAACGCACAUUGCGCCCCUUGGUAUUCCAUGGGGCAUGCCUGUUCGAGCGUCAUUUGUACCUUCAAGCUUUGCUUGGUGCUGGGUGUUUGUCUCGCCUUUGCGUGUAGACUCGCCUUAAAAUAAUUGGCAGCCGGCGUAUUGAUUUCGGAGCGCAGUACAUCUCGCGCUUUGCACUCAUAACGACAGCGUCCAAAAGUACAUUUUACACUCUUGACCUCGGAUCAGGUAGGGAUACCCGCUGAACUUAAGCAUAUCAAUAAGCGGAGGA
rnacentral:misc_RNA from 1 species